AUCUUCCCGUCUCUUCCCGAAACAUGUGAAUAGCCAGUCUUCAGACUCAGCACAGAGCCUUUCUUCAGACAAUCCUAUCUGAGUCAGGUCCACAAGGAAGGAGAAGGCAAUCCAGAAGCAUUUAAUAUGCCAGAUCUGAAUUGUCCAAAGUAUCUGCUGGAGUAUGGCCUCUGAACCCACAUCUCCUGGUGACCUGGGACAUAAACUGUUGUAUGGCAAAUCCUGUCUUGAUCAAAUUGGCAACAGAGUCUCAAGAAUUCUUUUAAGUACCUAACAACCACUGAUUUAAGUAUCAGCUUGCCUGCGUGACCUUUAAGGGUUAUAGGAACACCUUUUAUGCCUCCUUUCUCUUAGUACUAGGAGAAGUAUUUCAAUCAUUACACACCUUUAUAAAACACCUGGAGAUGCAUGUGAGACAUAAAUGUGAAAGUAAUAUUAUUGGUAUCAUAUUAUUAUUUUUCCCAAGGAAAUCGCUGUUUUCCACAUAGCAGAGCACAUGACUUCUUGUUUAUUGUGUAUUAAUAGCCUUGUGUUGUGAUGGUAAGUAGGACACAGAUACAGCUUUUCAGUGAUGUACAGUACUCUUUCUUAUCUUUAAUUAAAUGCUAUUCCCUUGUACUGGAAUGUAUUCUGUGAUUACACAUGUUUACAGUCUCUAAGUAACUUACCAUCAAAUACACUAAUGAAAAUCAGUGCCCCAAAGUGACUUGUGCGUUUUGUCUUGUACUAUCCAACACCUCUCUCAUAUUUUAUUUUAUUUUUUAAA